rnacentral:miRNA from 1 species
ACACUUGACACAUGUCUAUUGACAUAACCAUGGUUCCAUAAAUACAAAGUAAAGAGUUAACUAUGGUUAUGCCAAUAGACACGUGUCAAGUGU